GCAUAAGGAGGAACCUGAACUCUGAUGCAGACACUUUGCAGAAAGCUCUUGGCAAGUAGUCAAAUUGUUGGAAGGGAAGAUGUUCCUAUCACAGAAUGAGCUGAGAAAUGAGGAGCCAGUGAGAAGCAGGACUGGCAUUUCAAAUAGUGCCCUGGAAUCUGGAUAGCAGAUCUAACAGCCAUGGAAAUUCCUGCUAAUCUUACCCUUCCUCAGCUAUAGGCACGUUUCAGAGGGUGAAGUCAGGAGACCUCCCAAGGGAUUUUCCUGGCUGUGAGCUCGUGUUAAAGGGAUGAACAGGAGAAAAUUAUAAGAGGAUCCUUCCCAAGUUAA